rnacentral:rRNA from 1 species
CCUACGGGUGGCAGCAGUGGGGAAUAUUGGACAAUGGGGGAAACUCUGAUGCAGCGACGCCGCGUGCGUGAAGAAGUAAUUCUUUAUUUAAAGCUCUAUCAGUACGGAGGUAAAUGACGAUACCUGAAUUAGAAGCCCCGGCUAACGACGUUCCAGAAGCCGCGGUAAUACGGAGGAGGCAGGCGUUAUCCGGAUUUACUGGGUGUAAUGGGAGCGUAGACGGAAGUGAAAGUCAGGAGUGAAAGGGGGGGGCUCAACCCCGGGACUGCUAUGGAAACUGUAGGGCUGGAGUGCAGGAGCGGUAAGCGGAAUGCAUAGGGUAGCGGUGAAAUGCUUAGAUAUUAGGAAGAACACCAGUGGCGAAGGCAGCUUACUAAACUAUAACUGACGUUGAGGCUCGAAAGCGUGGGGAGCAAACAGGAUUAGAUACCCCGGUAGUC